rnacentral:tRNA from 1 species
GUGGACGUAGCUCAGUUGACAGAGUGCUUGCCUAGCAUGCAGGAGGCCCUGGGUUCAUAUCCCAGGACUGCA